AAUCAACGCUGGCGGCGUGCCUCAGACAUGCAAGUCGAACGAUUAAACUUUCCUUCGGGAAAGAUAUAAAGUGGCGCACGGGUGAGUAACACGUAAGUAAUCUACCCUCGAGUGGGGAAUAACGUCCGGAAACGGACGCUAAUACCGCAUAAUGCAGCGGCACCGCAAGGUGACAGUUGUUAAAGAUUUAUCGCUUGAGGAGGAGCUUGCGGCAGAUUAGCUAGUUGGUAAGGUAAUGGCUUACCAAGGCUACGAUCUGUAACCGGUCUAAGAGGACGGCCGGUCACACUGACACUGAAUAACGGGUCAGACUCCUACGGGAGGCAGCAGUCGGGAAUUUUGGGCAAUGGGCGAAAGCCUGACCCAGCAACGCCGCGUGAAGGAUGAAGUAUUUCGGUAUGUAAACUUCGAAAGAAUGGGAAGAAUAAAUGACGGUACCAUUUAUAAGGUCCGGCUAACUACGUGCCAGCAGCCGCGGU
rnacentral:rRNA from 1 species